GCGCAACACAGCAGUAACUGCUGGCCUAUCGUUACAGAUUAAUUUACCGAGACAAUCGGACUGUGUGACAGCUACAGCGCAGCCGUUUCUCUUGUCUUUACUCCAGCUGUGGUAGAGAGAAGCGUUUGAAUUGCGUCCACCGUGCAGUAUAGCGCCUCCAAUCUUGGGGGUUCGAUUGCUGCCGCACCCUCUCAGUGACCAAUUGCCUGAUUUUAAGUGAAGAGUUGAGACGCCUGCCUAGCUGCUGUUUCAGGGCUCCUCUGCAGUGGAGCUGCUGUCUUGUUUUGUCUUGUGUUCUGUUCUGUUGGCUGUCCAGUUUUGCUCCUGCUACUUUGCCUCGCCUUGCCUCUUGGGGCUUUGGGUUUUACUUUGAGCCCCUUCUGGACUAUUGUUUGCACUCCAGCUUCCGUGGCUGGCUAGGGCGAUCCUCAGCUGCAUAUCCGGCUGGUGCUAAGGAACUGAUACUGCCUCCCCUGGUUGCUCCCAGUUUGUGGGGAGCUGCACAAGACUGAGCGAGGCUGCGGAGUGCAGAGCCCCUUUUAUUCUUUUUAUUAUUUAGAGAGCCUGUUAUUUGGUGUCCCAUGUUUUAUUUUUUUAAUGUGUGUGUCUUGUGCUUUUAUUUCAGCGAACUGAGGAUCUACCAGCGGCCGUGGGACCUCAGGUGGCGGGUCGUUUUCCACACUUCCUUUGUUGUACAGCACUGGGUGAAUAGACUGUAGUGGGGGGUUGUGUGCUUUUCUUUUUGGUCCACCGCUGCUGGUAAGUCCCAGUUCUGUUUAUUCUUAUUGUAAUUUGGGACACAGUUUUAGAUGACAUUCAGUGCUCUGUCAUUGUUGAUGUUUUAUCUUAUUUUAUAUUAAUAAAUAAAAUUGUGUUAAUAUUUG
ensembl:lncRNA